AACUUGGCGAAAGGAGGUGAUCCGAUGUCUCAUGGUUCAGCAGAGAGGUCGGUUCGGUCCGUUCGGGGGCUGCGGGGCUAACCCGCGCCAUUACCCGGGCCGGCACUUCCGGCCGCUGACCAUGUUAGGGGAUCGCCGGGUACGCCCGGCGGUCCU
rnacentral:sRNA from 1 species